rnacentral:misc_RNA from 1 species
GCAAACUUGGUCAUUUAGAGGAAGUAAAAGUCGUAACAAGGUUUCCGUAGGUGAACCUGCGGAAGGAUCAAUACCGAGUUUUUGAAGUGGGUCUUUGAGCUGGUCUUUUCGAAGGCACUGUGCUCGGGCCCCGCUCCAUCCACUUCACCCUUGUGCAUUCUCGGAUUUCGUGUCGUGGGGGCUUGCCCCCUUGUGCACGGGUUCGUCUCAUUACAAACGCUUGUAGUGUCAUUGUCGAACGUAGACGCCCUUAGUGGCGGAAACACAAUACAACUUUCAACAACGGAUCUCUUGGCUCUCGCAUCGAUGAAGAACGCAGC